rnacentral:misc_RNA from 1 species
GAAAUGCUAUAAGUAAUGUGUAUGGCAGAAUUCAGUGAAUCAUCGAAUCUUUGAACGCUCGUUGCGCCUUUUGGUAUUCCGAAAGGCAUGCCUGUUUGAGUGUCAUGAAAUCUCAAUCCCCCCGGGUUUUCUGAACCCGAGGUGGACUUGGACAUGGGUGUCUGCCGUCUCGUACGGCUCGCCUUAAAUGACUCAGUGGGAUCUUCAGCAUCCGUGGCAGACGUAAUAAGUUUCGUCUCGUCCCUUGCUGUGAGGACCGCUCAUAACCUGCCAUCGAGCACCACUUUCGCCUCUGAACUCAAAACAGGUAGGACUACCCGCUCAACUUAA